rnacentral:rRNA from 1 species
CGUAGGGUGCAAGCGUUAAUCGGAAUUACUGGGCGUAAAGCGCACGCAGGCGGCUUUGCAAGACAGGUGUGAAAUCCCCGGGCCUAACCUGGGAACUGCAUUUGUGACUGCAUGGCUAGAGUUUGUCAGAGGGGGUGGAAUUCCACGUGUAGCAGUGAAAUGCGUAGAUAUGUGGAGGAACACCGAUGGCGAAGGCAGCCCCCUGGGACGUGACUGACGCUCAUGUACGAAAGCGUGGGGAGCAAACAGGAUUAGAUACCCUGGUAGUCCACGCCCCAAACGAUGUCGACUAGUUGUCGGAGGGUAACUCCUUCGGUAACGCAGCUAACGCGUGAAGUCGACCGCCUGGGGAGUACGGUCGCAAGAUUA